rnacentral:rRNA from 1 species
GUGGGGAAUUUUGGACAAUGGGCGCAAGCCUGAUCCAGCAAUGCCGCGUGCAGGAAGAAGGCCUUCGGGUUGUAAACUGCUUUUGUACGGAACGAAACGGUCCGGGUUAAUACCCUGGGCUAAUGACGGUACCGUAAGAAUAAGCACCGGCUAACUACGUGCCAGCAGCCGCGGUAAUACGUAGGGUGCAAGCGUUAAUCGGAAUUACUGGGCGUAAAGCGUGCACAGGCGGUUUUGUAAGACAGGCGUGAAAUCCCCGGGCUCAACCUGGGAAUUGGGAUUGUGACUGCAAGGCUGGAGUGCGGCAGAGGGGGAUGGAAUUCCGCGUGUAGCAGUGAAAUGCGUAGAUAUGCGGAGGAACACCGAUGGCGAAGGCAAUCCCCUGGGCCUGCACUGACGCUCAUGCACGAAAGCGUGGGGAGCAAACAGGAUUAGAAACCCGGGUAGUCC